rnacentral:rRNA from 1 species
GACGGAGGGGGCAAGCGUUGUCCGGACUCACUGGGCGUAAAGGGUGCGCAGGCGGUUCUGUGCGUCGGCGCUGAAAGUGCCCGGCUCAACCGGGUGAGGCGCGCCGAUACGAUGGAACUUGAGGCUCUGAGAGGGUGGCGGAACUCCUGGUGUAGUGGUGAAAUGCGUAGAGAUCAGGAAGAACACCCGUGGCGCAAGCGGCCACCUGGCAGAGUUCUGACGCUGAGGCACGAAAGCGUGGGGAGCGAACCGG